UCCAGUGUGGUGUAGCGGUUUGAGCACUAGAGUAUAACUCUGGAGACCAGGGUUUGAUUCCCUGCUCAGCCA